rnacentral:rRNA from 1 species
GUUUUCUUGAAUUCGAGAAUAGGAGAUUUAACCUGCCCACUGAGUUAUUGAAGGGCCGCAGUAUUUUGACUGUGCAAAGGUAGCAUAAUCAUUAGUCUUUUAAUUGAGGGCUGGUAUGAAUGGUUGGACGAGGUAAAGGCUGUUUUAUUUUGAUUAAAAUUGAACUUAAAUUUUAAGUAAAAAUGCUUAAAUGUUAUUAAGGGACGAGAAGACCCUAUAGAGUUUAAUAUAAGUAAUUUUAAUUAAGUUGAUAAAACUGUUAGUAAUUUUUGUAAAUUGUAUUUGAUUGGGGUGAUUGGAAUAUAGAAAAAACUAUUUUUUGUGUUAAAUAUUGUUUUUAGAAUGAUGAUCCAUGAAUUCAUGAUUAGAAGAUUAAAUUACCUUAGGGAUAACAGCAUAAUUUUUCUUGAGAGUUCUUAUUGAGAGAAGGGAUUAUGACCUCGAUGUUGGAUUAAGAUAUAAAUUAGGUGUAGAUGUUUAAUUAUUAGGUCUGUUCGACCUUUAAAAUCUUACA